CCGCUCUCUCAAUCCAGAGACCCUAGGAAGAAUUCUCCAAUUAAUCGGCGCUCUUCCACCAGUUCUCUCCGCCACCAGUUCUCGAUUCCAGCGUCGCCGCCGGUUCUCGAUUCCACCAGUUUUCUCUGUCGAUUGCAGCAAUUAACAGCCUCUAUCUCAUUGUUUCUCAUUGCGUCUUGUGAAGGGUGGUGAUGUCUGCUAUUCAUAGCACCUCCUCCGACGCUCUUGAUUCCUGCUCCGGCGCGACAGAUUGGGGGUCGUUUGAUAGCCUCCAGAGCCAAGAAAUAGAUUAGUAUCUAGUUAUUUUCGUUCAUUUGAUAUCCUUGUUGGGCCACCAUAUCAGCCCGUUUUUGUACUCUGGCCCGCAUAGGCCCGCAGAUUGAGCCACAAAUGCACAGAUUAUUAUCUUGGGCUGCCAUUGGUACACUUGUGUAUUAUUUUGUAUUUUGGUGGACUAAAUUCCAUCUAUUUUGUACUAAUGUAUUUUCUGAUCGGAUUUGUAAUUGCUAGACUAUAUUAUUUUGUAUUUUGUUUGACUAUGUUCCAUCUAUUUUGUA